GCGAGGGUGGCAGAGCCUGGCCAAAUGCGCAGGACUUAAGAUCCUGUCCCUUAGUGGGUUCGUGGGUUUGAGCGAAGCGCAGUGGGUCCCAAAAAUGGAACAUUUUUGAGGACAAAUCCCUCCCCUCGCA
rnacentral:tRNA from 1 species